CAUCAGUUCAAAACUCUUAAAGGUUUUCAGUUCCCCUCCUGGAUCCUACUGGAAAUGAAGAGAGGCUACUGCAUUUUUCGAGUUUUCAUUGGAGCUUUUCCACGAAGGUCUGGCUACUCGUAUUUUUAUUGGCUGAUUUUUUAAAUUGUUUUGGAGACAAACACUAGCUAGAUUUUCUACACUAGUUACCAGCGUUUAGAGGUAGCAUACACUAACCAAUACAGCUAUGCCUGAACCGAUGUUUAGCUUCUGGAAUUGGUUAAUUGCCAUGUUUUAGAUUAUUCACAUUGUAGUCCCGCCUUCUGAGGAUUUACACCAAUCGGAGCCUAACUUCCGAAGUGACCGCUGAUCAGGAAGACAUCUGGCGCUAUCGUGAAAGCUGGUGUCGGCUACCUGCCGGGUAUGCCAUUAUUCCAGCUGUAACAUCUGCAGUAUGGCCCAUGAUUUCUGCCUCGACACAGGCUUGGACACAAUUCAACCUUGACAUUUAACGUUAGCCUACAAUACCAUUGUGUUCGAGAAUAUUCGUGGGAGCAUCUCAGGGCACCAUUCCAAGCGGAGCACUCUAGACCACAACGAACUUCAUAACAACAAUGAUUGGCCUGAAAUACCAUGUUUCCCUACCUGUGGCUGCCGGUGCCUUGUUAGUUGGGAUUCCUUACAGCAUUUCACUUGUCGCUCAGUGGCUGUAUGGGUGGCCUAAUAAACCAGGUUACAAGAAGUACAUUGAGGGUCUGAAGCCCAGGCGCAUAUACGGCCUCUCUAGGGCAGUACUGGAAAUGCUGAAAUACUUCCAGUAUGGCAGACUGUAUUUCCAGUGGAAGUCUUGGUACAAGAAUGUUAACAACGACAAGCAUUAUGUAAAAGGUAUCACUUUUGGUCGCAGGGGCAAGGAGUUGGAUUUAUACCAUUCUCCAAACAUGGAUCAGCAUAAAGUUGUACCUGUGGUCGUGUUUAUAUUUGGUGGUGCUUGGGGGUCAGGAGAGAGAAGCACGUACUGUCUGCUUGCUAUACAAAUGGCCAAGGAACUCAAUGCCAGUGUGGUUUGCCCAGAUUAUUCCACCUAUCCGGAGGGGAAUGUGUUAAAUAUGAUCGAGGACAUAUCAGACACCCUACUAUGGGUGAGGGAGAAAGGACAUCUGUUCAAAAUUGACAAGGACAACAUAGUGUUAAUCGGCCACUCCGCCGGGGCCCACCUCUGUGCUCUGACCACACUUUUCCUGAUUGACGGAGCAGAGGAGCUUGGUAUAGAGGCAGCUAAACAGGAAAAAAUGACUUCAGCAAUCAAGGGAAUCGUGGGGUUAAGUGGAGUUUAUAACAUCUUGGACCAUUAUCAACAUGAAAGAAUGCGUGGGGUGGAGUAUGUCUCAACAAUGCACAAAGCCAUGAAUGGAGUGCAGAACUUUAGUUAUUACUCACCUACUCAUGCAAUUAAAAAACUUGAUGAAGAAAAAAUAAAAAGAGUCCCUCCCUUUGGCUUGCUUCACGGAACCAAUGACAUCAUAGUUCCGGAGGAGUCAUCGGUGAAAUUCUCCAAACUCCUGACUUCCCUUUCUGUGAAAUCGUCUCUCUACCUGCUGCCUAAAAUGGACCACACAGAGAUAGUUACUGAUCUGAUGGCGCCAAACAGACAUUUCUAUCACACUCUCUAUGGCUGUAUCAAACAGGAGUACAGUAAAUUCAUUAAAACAUGCUAAAUCGUUCCUCCUCCACAAAUCAACCAAGUGCUGAAUUUGUGUCUUUUUCUGACAUAGACCAUUUUGUUAACAACUUGCUUUUCUACCUAGUGCUGUAUUAAACUUCAUUGUCAUUUCUUUACAGACAUUCUUUUUACAGUUUUACACAAAGAUAUCCUGUUGACAUGUUUACCCCUCAUGUGUGAACAAGAGAUACUAUUAAAAUCUUAUUUGCAAAAAGACUGAACUCCUUUUAUCUCAUUUCAUAAGAUAGCUUUGAUGGUGAAACCUUGAAAUUAUACUGAAGGACC
rnacentral:lncRNA from 1 species